AUCUAGGUCAAAUGGAAGGAGAAAUUAAAAGUUUUCUAUACCAGAUACUGAACCAAACAGUUCAGAUAACUAAUUCUGUAAGCCUCAUGCCAACUCCGUAGGGUAGGCACUAUUUAUUUUUCAUUUAUCAAGGGAAAACAAAUUGAGGUAAUGAGUGCUUAGUCACCAGCACAAUGGUCACACUCAUAGUGACUGGGAAACUGCAUGGAACUCACACCUCAGAAUUCAUGUGCUUACCCACAUGUAAACAUUUAAAUUAAUUUACCCUAACAUUUUGCAUUUCUAGCAUCCAAAUAGUAUAUAGCCAAUAUUUGAUGGUGUUUAAAUAGAAAGUCAUCUAAUUUCUAGUUACUGUAAAAGAGAGACAAAGAGACUAUUAAACAUCAUCCACUCUCAUUUUUGCUUAUUGAAGUUCAUUUCAAAUAGUGACCAAUUUUUGUUUUCCAUUUAUCUAAAAUUACAUAUUAUCAAAUGUAAUGUUUAUGCAUAUAAACAUGGAGAAAUUUGCUCCUGAGACAAGAAUGUAUUGGAAAAAAAUAAUAAAAAAGAAAAAUAAUAAAAAAUAAAAAUAAUAAAAAAGAAAAAUCUUGGGGGAGAAGUGGGUACAGAAGAUAACAUUAUGAUUAAGAUAAAAAAUGUUAAGAAAUGCAAGUAGAAUAACUCAUGAGUUGAGAAUCCCCUCUGCAAUGGUUUGGAUAUGGUUUGUCUCCACCAAAACUUAAUGUUGAAAUUUCACUGUCAAUGUAAAAAGGUUGGAAGAUGGAGGGCUUUGAGUUUAUUAGGUCAGUAAGAUCAAUGAAUGUCUUUCUCUUCAGACUAGAUUUGUUCUAGUGAGACUAGGUUAGUUAUCGAAACAGUGGACUGUUAUAAAGUGAGGGUGCCCCAUGUCUUACCCCUUUUGCAUGCAUGCUUGCUUCCCCUUUUGCUUCUCCACCAUGUGAUACCAGUCCACCCAAUUAUGAGGAAACCCAAGGCCCUCUCCAAGUGUGGCCACCUAAUCUUCAAUCUCCCAGCCUCCAUAACCAUGAGAUACAUCUCUUUCCUUUAUAAAUUACCCAGUCUCAGGUAACAUAGCAACACAAAAUGAACUAGCAAACCCAUCAAGUACAAAUAUCAAUACAUAUUUUGUGAUUGAAAAAUGAUUCUGAAAUGGGCUCUUCUAUGGAGUUAACUUACCCUUUACUAUAUUCCUUUUAGAUAAGUAACUAUUUCUGUGAGUGGAUUUCUAACAGGAGCACCUUGUUUUCUUAUAUAUUAAAAAAUCAGCUACUGUGUUGGUCUUACAAUUUGUUAACUUAACCAUUUGAAAAAAUACAUAGCAAAGGACUUUUAAUUACUUGGUUCUAUUUUUCAUUCAAAUUCCAAUUAAAAACCAGAGAUUCACUUAGCAAUAUUAAUUUCCACAUUAUCAUCACAUUUCUUACUCUGUAAUGUUCAUUAUUUAAUUUUUUUCUGUGCUUA
rnacentral:lncRNA from 1 species